GUGGAGCGGACCAUCACAGAGCAGCUUUUUAACUCACCACAAAAAUGGGAAAGGUGAUAUUUUAAAGAAGUUCAACAGCUGGAGAGGUGAUCAAGAAGACAAAAACAAAAGCUGCCAAAAACUGUGCAGAAGGAAAGGUACUGGUUCCACAUGUGGGAUACCUGUGACAAAGAGGGACAGAGCUCAAUGCGUGAUCUGGAAGUUACAGUGAAUAUUGUUGCAUUUUUUUUUACAAUUUUGCAACUUUUCUAACCACUGUGCCUCAUCAGAGCCAUGAAGCUUACUGGGACUAUCCUUAAACUGGAGUACACUCGUGGCAGCACAGAUACUGAACAUUUAAACAACAUGAUGACGAUACCACUACAAACAAAUACAAAGGACGCACCAGUGUCAGCACCCACCUCAUCACAGCCACAGCCUGAUGGAGGUAGGACUCAGUGUUCCAUAUGCGCAGACAGAGCCACACGUAAACAUUAUGGUGCAUCCAGCUGUGAUGGAUGCAAGGGCUUCUUCAGGAGGAGCAUUCGCAACAACCACACUUACAACUGCAGGUUCAACAGGCAGUGUAUUGUGGACAAAGACAAAAGGAACCAGUGUCGUUACUGCAGACUGCAGAAGUGCUUCAAGGCUGGAAUGAGAAAAGAAGCUGUGCAGAAUGAGAGAGACUGCAUCAACAGCCACAGAGCCAAGGGACAGACAGUGGGUACUCUGUCUAUCAGUGUGCUGCUGCGGGCAGAGGCCAGUGUGCAACAGUUCCCAGCUCUGGUCUCACCUAGGAGUCAUGACAUCAACACCAAGCAGACAGCCUGCGUGGGAGUUGUGUUCGAGUCCAUGAAGCAGCAACUCCUCCUACUGGUGGAAUGGGCAAAACACAUCCCAGAGUUUUGUGGUCUCCCAAUAGAUGACAGGGUAACCCUGUUACAGACCCACUCCGCAGAACAUCUUAUCCUAGGGGCAGCAAGACGCUCUUUACCUUAUUUCAAUCUGAUUCUUCUAGGUAACGACUUUGUGAUCCCCCUGAGAAGUGCAGAAGUAGCGGUGUCCAGGGUGGCUUUCAGAAUCCAAGAGGAGCUGGUCAAACCUCUCAGAGAGUUGGACAUCACAGACAAAGAGUUUGCUUGCCUCAGAAGCAUUGUCUUCUUUGCCCCAGAGUGUCCUGGUUUGAAGAGUCCUCAGGUGGUUCGACAUCUGCGUUUCCAGGCCCAUCUGCUGCUAGAAGAAGCAACCUGUGAGAAGCGGGGAAGGUUUGGGGAGCUCCUGCUGAUCCUGCCUCCCCUGCAGAGUGUGGCCUUGCAGAUGGUGGAGACACUACACCUAGCACAGCUACUAGGCGAGGCCAGUAUGGACAACCUGCUGCAGGAGAUGCUGCUGGGGGAGGGAGCCAAAGCAGGACAGGGUAGGAGACACUGCUACAGGAUUUCCUUGCAAGAAAUUGACUUAAUCUAUACACAAAGAGUUUCUCCCACAAACUUCGUCUCUGUCAUCUCUCACGUUUCAACAUGUGAGCACUCGCAAUCUAUCACAACAGUCCACAUUGUAGUCUUAUCAAGUCCAACAGUCAGAAACCAUCAAAAAAACAAAUAUAUUCAUCAUGGUUUUUACAUUUUGACAUUUGUAUCCUUGAAACUGAAAUGUAUUGAUGGACACUGA
rnacentral:lncRNA from 15 species